AUUGAACGCUGGCGGCAUGCCUUACACAUGCAAGUCGAACGGUAACAGGUCUUCGGAUGCUGACGAGUGGCGAACGGGUGAGUAAUACAUCGGAACGUGCCUAGUAGUGGGGGAUAACUACUCGAAAGAGUGGCUAAUACCGCAUGAGAUCUACGGAUGAAAGCAGGGGAUCGCAAGACCUUGUGCUACUAGAGCGGCCGAUGGCAGAUUAGGUAGUUGGUGAGAUAAAAGCUUACCAAGCCGACGAUCUGUAGCUGGUCUGAGAGGACGAUCAGCCACACUGGGACUGAGACACGGCCCAGACGCCUACGGGAGGCAGCAGUGGGGAAGUUUGGACAAUGGGCGCAAGCCUGAUCCAGCAAUGCCGCGUGCAGGAUGAAGGCCUUCGGGUUGUAAACUGCUUUUGUACGAAACGAAAAGCCCUGGGUUAAUACCCUGGGGUCAUGACGGUACCGUAAGAAUAAGCACCGGCUAACUACGUGCCAGCCGCCGCCGUAAGAC
rnacentral:rRNA from 1 species